UACGUAGGGUGCAAGCGUUGUCCGGAAUUAUUGGGCGUAAAGAGCUCGUAGGCGGUCUGUCGCGUCUGCUGUGAAAACUCAGGGCUUAACCCUGAGCUUGCAGUGGGUACGGGCAGACUAGAGUGCGGUAGGGGAGACUGGAAUUCCUGGUGUAGCGGUGAAAUGCGCAGAUAUCAGGAGGAAUACCGAUGGCGAAGGCAGGUCUCUGGGCAGUAACUGACGCUGAGGAGCGAAAGCGUGGGGAGCGAACAGG
rnacentral:rRNA from 1 species